UGGGGAAUAUUGCACAAUGGGCGCAAGCCUGAUGCAGCCAUGCCGCGUGUAUGAAGAAGGCCUUCGGGUUGUAAAGUACUUUCAGCGGGGAGGAAGGGAGUAAAGUUAAUACCUUUGCUCAUUGACGUUACCCGCAGCAGAAGCACCGGCUAACUCCGUGCCAGCAGCCGCGGUAAUACGGAGGGUGCAAGCGUUAAUCGGAAUUACUGGGCGUAAAGCGCACGCAGGCGGUCUGUCAAGUCGGAUUUGAAAUCCCCGGGCUCAAACUGGGAACUGCACUCGAAACUGGGAGGCUAGAGUCUUGGAGAGGGGGGUAGAAUUGCAGGUGUAGCGGUGAAAUGAGUAGAGAACUGGAGGAAUACCGGUGGAGAAUGCGGCCCCCUGGACAAAGACUGACGCUCAGGUGCGAAAGCGUGGGGAGCAAACAGG
rnacentral:rRNA from 1 species